GAUAUUUACUCAAACUCUCUAAGUGAAUCAUGAAAAUACAAUUCUAGUCAAUCUUAGGAUCUCAACAAAAUGGACCUGUCUACACAAUGCAGUUGGACCAUUCCACGAAUGUAGAAGAAAAUUUGGAAGCCAGGCAGGGGAAAACAACAUUCCGCCACUACUUUUCAAGAUUUUGCACACCAAUUUUUCUAGAGGAGGCUCAGUGACGUGUCUAUUUAGAGAUCGUCGUUGAAUUUUAUUGAGAAUAUGACAUCUUUAACCAACUUGUAAGACCAUAUGAUCUCAUCAUAUAUAGUAAUACUAAUCUGUUAGAUCUUUUAUUUUUUCUUUUUUCAUCCAUGCCUCAGAAACUUAAAACAAGAUACUCAUAUAUAUCUGAUUUGUGCUUUUCUCUACAGAUUCCUAAGAAACAAUAUGUUUUCUGGUACUAUUCCAUCCACCAUUGGAAAACACCUAUUAUUGAUGCAGAUGUGAGUUUUUCAAGUUAUGUUUGGUUGAAAUUACAAUUUCUCAUGUUUACUGAGUUCAUCCAUUUGCAGUCUAUGUGAUGGGAGUGGACCCCACUGCCUUUAAUGUUCCUGGAAAAGGGUCUUUAGUAAUAUCAUGAUUCCUGUUGGGUUUCUGGAAUAUGGGUUUUAAUGUUGAUAUGGUGGAGUACAAGAAUAUCGGCUUCACUGUUUAGGAUGUCGGGGGUCAGGAC